rnacentral:lncRNA from 1 species
GGAACCCCAAGCCACAGCACCUGAGAGCGUGCGCUGCUUGAGGGGACCCGGGGCCCGAGAGUACAGAGAGCAGGCAGAUGCUACACAAGCCUGGGGUUCCUGAGAAGGAAGGACGCCCUCAGGCGGCGGGGGAAGCUCGGGGGCCAGUAUUCCCGGCCAUGCACGCUGAUGCAAGCGCAGCCCGCAGCAUCCCUUUCAGGUAUACCCACUUCAUCCAUGGGUGCUGGACAGCUGCAUUCUAGGACUCCCUGAAUAACAAGUUCUUUGGAGAUAACCUACCCUGAAGCUGGUAUUUUUGACAACCAUGUGGUUGAAUUUCUCCAACGGAAACACCACCACCACCCAUCCUGCUCAUAUUGAUAUUCCUCGACUUCAGUCUAAGACAGAAGAUCUAAUUCGACCACAUCUUUACCUUGAAUUUUUGCAAAUUACUAUAGCAUUUUCUUCUGUCUCUGUCCCCAGCUACUGAGGUGGCCAGCAUGUCUUCAGGAUCUCCUUUCUCAUCAAGGCAGUAGAACUUAAAUUACUAAGUGUCAUCAUCAAGGCAAUCUAGUCUACAAGCUUCAGGAGGGAACUACAACCACAAGAGAAGGCAGGGAUCUGGUGUUUAAAGUUUGAAGUAACAGACAGAAAACAGUGAAUAUGAGUUACAAAGAAGACAACCAAUAAUUACCAAGAAUUAAGCAAAACCAACAUAAAAAUGCCAGGCAACAACUUAGCAAGAGAACUGCAAACCGAAAGAUAGAGUGAGGCAAAAUGAGAGAAAGCUCUAAGAUAAGUAAGAUUGUGAGUCUUACAAAGAUUAUAUCCUGUUUAUGGAACAGGAAAAGGGUGACAAAAAUGAUGUCCAACAUAUGAAGACUUCAGACAUGAACAGUACAAGGGAUGGGCUUAGAUGAGCAGAGACUGCAUCAACCAAAAGAACAAGAGGAGGAUUGUCCCAGAUCACAAUAGAAUUUCAUUAUUAAUGGAGAGUUAAUAUAAUAAAGUGUUUCUAAAAUAAUUA